rnacentral:rRNA from 1 species
CCUACGGGUGGCAGCAGUGGGGAAUAUUGCACAAUGGGGGAGACCCUGAUGCAGCAACGCCGCGUGAGUGAAGAAGUAUUUCGGUAUGUAAAGCUCUAUCAGCAGGGAAGAAGAGGACGGUACCUGAAUAAGAAGCCCCGUCCAAAUACGUGCCACCAGCCGCGGGAAUACGUAGGGGGCCAGCGUUAUCCGGAUUUACUGGGGGUAAAGGGAGCGCAGACGGCAGUGCAAGUCUGGAGUGAAAGCCCGGGGCCCAACCCCGGAACUGCUCUGGAAACUGUGCGGCUAGAGUGCUGGAGGGGCAGGCGGAAUGCCUGGUGUAGCGGUGAAAUGCGUAGAUAUUAGGAAGAACUCCGGUGGCGAAGGCGGCCUGCUGGAGAGCAACUGACGUUGAGGCUCGAAAGCGUGGGGAGCGAACAGGAUUAGAUACCCUGGUAGUC